rnacentral:rRNA from 1 species
AUUGAACGCUGGCGGCAGGCCUAACACAUGCAAGUCGAACGGUAACAGGGAUCAGCUUGCUGAUUCGCUGACGAGUGGCGGACGGGUGAGUAAUGUCUGGGAAACUGCCUGAUGGAGGGGGAUAACUACUGGAAACGGUAGCUAAUACCGCAUAACGUCGCAAGACCAAAGAGGGGGACCUUCGGGCCUCUUGCCAUCGGAUGUGCCCAGAUGGGAUUAGCUAGUAGGUGGGGUAACGGCUCACCUAGGCGACGAUCCCUAGCUGGUCUGAGAGGAUGACCAGCCACACUGGAACUGAGACACGGUCCAGACUCCUACGGGAGGCAGCAGUGGGGAAUAUUGCACAAUGGGCGCAAGCCUGAUGCAGCCAUGCCGCGUGUAUGAAGAAGGCCUUCGGGUUGUAAAGUACUUUCAGCGGGGAGGAAGGGAGUAAAGUUAAUACCUUUGCUUAUUGACGUUACCCGCAGAAGAAGCACCGGCUAACUCCGUG